rfam:Cavia porcellus supercont2_95 genomic scaffold, whole genome shotgun sequence.
GGGGAUUUAGCUCAGCGGCAUAAGCACCUGCCUUGCAAGCAGGAAGUCGUGAGUUCGAUCCCUG